rnacentral:rRNA from 1 species
AUUGAACGCUGGCGGCAGGCCUAACACAUGCAAGUCGAGCGGAGCGGCGGCCGGGUGAGUAAUGCCUAGGAACCUGCCUGGUAGUGGGGGAUAACGUCCGGAAACGGGCGCUAAUCCCGCAUACCAUCGGACGUGCCUAGAUGGGAUUAGCUAGUAGGUGGGGUAACGGCCCACCUAGGAGUCGAUCCCUAGCUGGUCUGAGAGGAUGACCAGCCACACUAGAACUGAGACACGGGCCAGACUCCUACGGGAGGCAGCAGUGGGGAAUAGUGCACAAUGGGCGCAAGCCUGAUGCAGCCAUGCCGCGUGUGUGAAGAAGGCCUUCGGGUUGUAAAGCACUUUCAGCGGGGAGGCGUUACCCGCAGAAGAAGCACCGGGUAACUCCGGGCCAGCAGCCGCGGUAAUAC